ACAGAGAGCCGAAUGUGGGACUGGAACUCACGAACCAUGAGAUCAUGACCAAAGCCGAAGCCGGACACUCAACCAACUGAGCCACCUAGGUGCCCCUCCAUCUGCAUUUUUGAACACGUCUUAUGAAUAGUGUAAGACUAUAUUACCAAGGACGCCUGGGUUUCAAGUACAGAAAACUCAAAAUAGCUCAAACCAUAGGGAUAAUAUACUUACCCAAGUAGCCAAAAGGACCCAAAGCAAGGCAUUCAUCCUGUUUAUCCUGGCACUUCUGGAUGCCUUCAACGGCAAGUAAAAGAAAACCCCAACUCAGACUGUCAUAAACACUGGAAAGAAUAAAUCUACAGGUCAUUUGCUUAGAGCAGGAUCUUCUCGACGUCAGGUGUCCGCAUGCCGCCACUGGCUUGGGUUCCGCAGAGUGGCCACCUUCUGCCCGCCUGAGACACCAGCUGCCUGCGCCAGGACCCUACUCACGCACCUAUUUCAAUCAACACCCCUUAAGCCUUUCAAGCACGACUGCGAGUGGACAGCCAGUAUCACUUGCCAUGAAUGGAAGUUUGCCGUAAGUAAAAUGCAGCAAAAACUUUGCAUUGUCCCCCCGCCCCAGGGCAGAGCCGGAGUCCUGCUCUGCCUGAAGGGGGAGAUGGGGAAAUGCAAGAUGUUGAAGCUGCUUCCUCACUCAGGUGACCUGAAGGAUGCACAGACUCAAAAAGGAAAGCCCGGCCUCUCUAGUGGAUCGAGUUCCAGCCCCACCCCCUCCCCACCGCCACCGAUCCACAGUGGACACGUAGCACGGGUGAGUGAGACCUGUUCAGCCACAGCAUUAAUCUGGUUCGUCCUGACACAAUUAUCCCGGCGAUGGUUAUCCGCUGACAGGAUGCCAGGCCUUAGUCACAUCCGCAUUCCCCACCUCAUUCAGUUGGACCCCACUGCCCAUUUUUUGCCAUAAACGCGUGCCAUGCAUUUCCCUUUAAACCAGCUCACUUUUUUACUUAAGUAACUUUAUUUUUUUAGUAACCCCUACACCUAACAUGGGGCUCAAACUCACAAACCCGAGAUCGAGUCGUAUGCUCUUCCGACUGAGCCAGGCAGGCGCCCCAAAUCAAUUUAUUUCUCAAGAGGGCUUUCUACUACUGCCCUUGAGUGGGAAACUAGCAUCUCUUGUCAUUAAAGAAAGGGCGGGGUGGGGAACUAAAAUAAACACCAAGAGAGGAAAGUAAGAUUAAUUUCUAGCUCCAACGAUCGCCUGAGUUUGAGGACUGCUGUGUUUUUGUAACUAGAGAGGAGAGAACGACAGGCUGUCCGUGCUUCCUCGUCAGUCAGGAUCGUGCUAGAAUGAAGUGUUGUCUGAUGAGGUGUCUGAGGACCGGCUGAAACCGUAUGGUUCCCCAGUGGCCCCUGCCCCACCGACACUUUGGGAAAAUGGACGUGACCAUCCCUCCUCAUGGGGCAGCUUUUACUAGGAUAAGCCCUCCUCCCCAACACGGGCACUUGCCCCGAAUGGGAGCCUCUGCACGCCCAGCAUCUGGCCAGGUCCGCGGCACCAGGCUGAAAAAAGCAACCAACGCAUACAGACUCAAAACUUUAAUCGGCGAACAAACACAUACACAUAAAAGCCAUCUCUACGCUGGCCCACAGCUACACAGGUCAGUAGUUACAGAGUCCGCCCGCCACGUUGCCAAUUUUCCGCAGGACCCCUGACCUCCAUCUUUGGUGUCAAAACUCUCGUUGAACACGUUUCCCGCCUCUGGCCUGCCCUGUGGUAUAGAACGGGUCUCGCCCAGACUACACAGCGAUCUGAGGGCAGGGACCAGGUGCAGGGAGUUCAGUGUUUCGGCCCUUUGAAAACCCAUAUGCUCCCUGCUGUGGUGUGGGCCCAGUGGCGAGCCUGUAGGUUCCCACUUUCAACAACAAAACCAACCGGCAGAACUCAAAG